rnacentral:rRNA from 1 species
GACGAACCGUGCGAACGUUAUUCGGAAUCACUGGGCUUAAAGCGCGUGUAGGCGGGCCGGCGCGUCGGCCGCGGAAAGCCCCCGGCUCAACCGGGGAAGCGGCGCCGAUACGGCCGGCCUGGAGGGGGGUAGGGGGACCUGGAACUUCCGGUGGAGCGGUGAAAUGCGUUGAGAUCGGAAGGAACGCCCGUGGCGAAAGCGAGGUCCUGGACCCUUUCUGACGCUGAGACGCGAAAGCCAGGGGAGCGAACGGG